GGGAGGCUCACGUCCCCACCCUCGGGCUUUCCAAGGUGCCGCGCCAGGGGUUGCUGAGGUAGAGGUGGCUCCCCUGCUCCUCCUUCCACCUCUCCGAUUCCACCUCCUCCUCGCACCCCGCUGGGAACUCCUCCAGGGGCUGAGAUUGGAUUCACCGAGCCUGCGGAGAGUGGGGAACUGCGGGCAGGUCGGCGGAGUUAGAUGGCAGCAAAGGUGGGCCGGCUUGGUGUGAUAAAGUUCCAACUGGGUCCUUCCGCGAGCCCUGGGUCCAUAAGAUGUCAUCGGCGAGCGCUGGACUUGACCGUCAACUUGGGAUUGUUAAGGUACUGUAUGGAUGGUCAAGUGCUGGAAAGAAAAAAAAAUGGCCCAUAAAUUUGUUUGGUUUCACAAGAGACAUGGGAGACCAAAUAACGCACGAUGAGUACUUUUCUAAAUAUCCUGUUUAUUCUCCCAACGGGGCUCAUAAAAAUACGGAUGCAUUCAGUGGGUUGAGAGAUCUCUGUGCAGUCGUGACCCUGCAAUUAUAUUUGACAAGGGUGGUGAUGACAGAUGGGUGGCACAGAAGCCUACCCUUCUUUGGCACCAAUUGAGCAUGGUGACAACAGAUUCAAAAUGGCCUGUGUCUGAACUUGAUGGUCCUGUUUUUCUGCUCUGGUCUUUAGGAAUGAGGGGAGCCUUCCCGAGUUCCGCCAUUUCCUUGCAUUUUUCUUUUUACAUAUAUUCGUUCACUUAUUUAUUUACUAAUUUAUUUUAAAUAGAGUCUUGUUCUGUAGCCCAGGCUGUGGGGUUUUUUUGGCUGGCUGCAAUCUCCACCUCCCUGGUUCCAGCAAUUCUCCUGCCACAGCCUCCUGAGUAGCUGGGAUUACAGGUGUAUGCCACCCUGCUCACCUAACUUUUGUUUUUUUAGUAGAGACAGGGUUUCACCAUGUUGCCCAGGCUGACCUUCAGGGAUCUGCCUGCCUCAGUCUCCCAAAGUGCUGGGAUAACAGGUGUGAGUCACCGCGCCCAGCCUAAAUUGCAAUUUUUCAAAAUAAAUGUUUUGUUUUGCUUUUUUUAAAAGUAGGUCAUCACCUAGUGACCACUGUUAUUGAAAGGCCACUGUUAUUGAAAGUGGCCACUGUUAUUUAAAGGUGGCACUGAGGGCCGCCUGGCCACUUCACAGAGCCUGGGGCAACUGCUUUCUCUCCUUCCCUUCUGGAGGCCCCUCCCUCUCUCCCUCACUGCCUAGGGAACUUCCAUCCUGGUGCGGACCCUGUUGUUCUUUUAUCCCUCUAGGUAAAUGGUGUCUCCUUCUGUCGCCAAGGCGGUGGCAUGGUCUCGGCUGGCUGCAAUCUCCACCUCCUUGCUUCCAGCGAUUCUCCUGCCUCAGCCCCCCGAGUAGCAGAAAUUACAGGAGUUUCAUGGCAGGGCGCUUGGCUGGCUUGUUUAAAUUCAUUCUGAAUAAGAACUGAGGAUGUCAGCUUCUGGCCUCAUGGACUCUGGACUGAAGAGUCCCCUUGUCUAUCUAUCAUGAGACUGUACACGUAAGAAGCAAAAAACUAGUAACAUUUAAAAUAAAUAAUUUUGUUGUACAGAAAUACACGGAUGCACCUAAAACACAGAAAUGAUUCUUUUAAAAGUUGUGUUAGUCCUGGUGGGUGUGGCAG
rnacentral:lncRNA from 1 species